UGCGGCAGGCCUAACACAUGCAAGUCGAACGGUAACAGGAAGAAGCUUGCUUCUUUGCUGACGAGUGGCGGACGGGUGAGUAAUGUCUGGGAAACUGCCUGAUGGAGGGGGAUAACUACUGGAAACGGUAGCUAAUACCGCAUAACGUCGCAAGACCAAAGAGGGGGACCUUCGGGCCUCUUGCCAUCGGAUGUGCCCAGAUGGGAUUAGCUUGUUGGUGGGGUAACGGCUCACCAAGGCGACGAUCCCUAGCUGGUCUGAGAGGAUGACCAGCCACACUGGAACUGAGACACGGUCCAGACUCCUACGGGAGGCAGCAGUGGGGAAUAUUGCACAAUGGGCGCAAGCCUGAUGCAGCCAUGCCGCGUGUAUGAAGAAGGCCUUCGGGUUGUAAAGUACUUUCAGCGGGGAGGAAGGGAGUAAAGUUAAUACCUUUGCUCAUUGACGUUACCCGCAGAAGAAGCACCGGCUAACUCCGUGCCAGCAGCCGCGGUAAUACGGAGGGUGCAAGCGUUAAUCGGAAUUACUGGGCGUAAAGCGCACGCAGGCGGUCUGUUAAGUCAGAUGUGAAAUCCCCGGGCUCAACCUGGGAACUGCAUCUGAUACUGGCAAGCUUGAGUCUCGUAGAGGGGGGUAGAAUUCCAGGUGUAGCGGUGAAAUGCGUAGAGAUCUGGAGGAAUAC
rnacentral:rRNA from 1 species